rnacentral:rRNA from 1 species
CGCCUUUUGAGAAAAAUAGAAGGUCUGACCUGCCCACUGAAAAUUUAAAGGGCCGCAGUAUUUUGACUGUGCAAAGGUAGCAUAAUCAUUAGUCUUCUAAUUAAAGGCUGGAAUGAAUGGUUGGACGAGGUAUUAGCUGUCUCACUAAAAUUUUAUUAGAAUUUACCUUUUUAGUCAAAAGGCUAAAAUAAUGGUGGAGGACGAGAAGACCCUAUAGAGCUUUAUGGUUAAUUUUCUUAAUUUGUUUGGGAAAAUCUUAAUUUUGAGGGGCUACCAUUUCGUUGGGGUGACGAGAAGAUGAAUUAAACUCUUUUUAUUGUAAACAUAAAUGAAUGAAUAGUUGAUCCAUAAUUAGUGAUUAUAAGACUAAGUUACCUUAGGGAUAACAGCGUAAUCUUUUUUAAGAGUUCUAAUCGACAAAAAGGGUUGCGACCUCGAUGUUGGACUAAGGGUUAUUUUUGGGUGUAGCAGUUCAAAGUUUAGGUCUGUUCGACCUUUGAAUCCUUACAU